GAUGAACGCUGGCGGCGUGCCUAAUACAUGCAAGUCGAGCGAACAGACGAGGAGCUUGCUCCUCUGACGUUAGCGGCGGACGGGUGAGUAACACGUGGAUACCCUACCUAUAAGACUGGGAUAACUUCGGGAAACCGGAGCUAAUACCGGAUAAUAUAUUGAACCGCAUGGUUCAAUAGUGAAAGACGGUUUUGCUGUCACUUAUAGAUGGAUCCGCGCCGCAUUAGCUAGUUGGUACGGUAACGGCUUACCAAGGCGACGAUGCGUAGCCGACCUGAGAGGGUGAUCGGCCACACUGGAACUGAGACACGGUCCAGACUCCUACGGGAGGCAGCAGUAGGGAAUCUUCCGCAAUGGGCGAAAGCCUGACGGAGCAACGCCGCGUGAGUGAUGAAGGUCUUCGGAUCGUAAAACUCUGUUAUUAGGGAAGAACAAAUGUGUAAGUAACUAUGCACGUCUUGACGGUACCUAAUCAGAAAGCCACGGCUAACUACGUG
rnacentral:rRNA from 1 species